rnacentral:tRNA from 1 species
UCUGAUGUUGGCACAGUGAUAGUGCACUCGGCUGUCAGAAACCGCUGGUUCGAUCCCUGCCAUAAGAA